GACGAACGCUGGCGGCGUGCUAAACACAUGCAAGUCGAACGGAAAGGCCCUGCUUUUGUGGGGUGCUCGAGUGGCGAACGGGUGAGUAACACGUGAGUAACCUGCCCUUGACUUUGGGAUAACUUCAGGAAACUGGGGCUAAUACCGGAUAGGAGCUCCUGCUGCAUGGUGGGGGUUGGAAAGUUUCGGCGGUUGGGGAUGGACUCGCGGCUUAUCAGCUUGUUGGUGGGGUAGUGGCUUACCAAGGCUUUGACGGGUAGCCGGCCUGAGAGGGUGACCGGCCACAUUGGGACUGAGAUACGGCCCAGACUCCUACGGGAGGCAGAAGUGGGGAAUAUUGCACAAUGGGCGGAAGCCUGAUGCAGCAACGCCGCGUGCGGGAUGACGGCCUUCGGGUUGUAAACCGCUUUCGCCUGUGACGAAGCGUGAGUGACGGUAAUGGGUAAAGAAGCACCGGCUAACUACGUG
rnacentral:rRNA from 1 species